UCUAAAAUGAGACGAAAGCUUUCGGGUCUACUACCAACUAGAGCCCAUGGAACGAGAUAUUAAAGAGAGCAAAGUAUAAUUUUGCCCAAGUAAGACGACGACCAAUAAAAGAAAGGUUGACCCGAUAACAGGAUGCGAGUAAGCUGACGCUUUUGUCAUUAUAAUCUGCAACGUCAGUAAAGUUAUUGUGAAGUUCAUGAAUAUUCACAUCCUUACUUCUUCACAUCUUACGUGCAAUUUUGUACUUGUUAUUACGUUUAAAUUAUAGAAUUACAUGGAUACGUCAUUAAUGUUGCUCCAGAGAGCGGCACAGAGAUUUGAGGUUUCUUUCUCUCAAAACUUGCCAAGAUUGUACAGAUUCAUAAAAUCAUGUGACUGUGUUCUCUUUGUAGUGUGAGAUGUUUAACUGAUUUAUAUCGCAGAUAAGAUUUGAUCAAGUACGGCGACCGAUGGAUGGGGAGCAUACUUACCUGGCGCAGGGGUCGCAUUGAUCAAGAAGGAUGCACCCCCAGGGCGAGGCUUGCCAUUGCACUCCGGCUUGCUGAACCUUGCGAUUCCCCCAAAUGUGGGGAACUCGGGCGUACAAUUUAUGGUAGCGGAGAUCUGCGUUCGCGCUA